rnacentral:rRNA from 1 species
CUGCAACUCGCCUGCAUGAAGUUGGAAUUGCUAGUAAUCGCGAAUCAGAAUGUCGCGGUGAAUACGUUCCCGGGCCUUGUACACACCGCCCGUCACACCAUGAGAGUCGAUAACACCCGAAGCCUGUGAGCUAACCGCAAGGGGGCAGCAGUCGAAGGUGGGGUUGAUGAUUGGGGUGAAGUCGUAACAAGGUAUC